rnacentral:rRNA from 1 species
GAUGAACGCUGGCGGCGUGCCUAAUACAUGCAAGUCGAGCGAACGGACGGGAAGCUUGCUUCUCUGAUGUUAGCGGCGGACGGGUGAGUAACACGUGGAUAACCUACCUAUAAGACUGGGAUAACUUCGGGAAACCGGAGCUAAUACCGGAUAAUAUUUUGAACCGCAUGGUUCAAAAGUGAAAGACGGUCUUGCUGUCACUUAUAGAUGGAUCCGCGCUGCAUUAGCUAGUUGGUAAGGUAACGGCUUACCAAGGCAACGAUGCAUAGCCGACCUGAGAGGGUGAUCGGCCACACUGGAACUGAGACACGGUCCAGACUCCUACGGGAGGCAGCAGUAGGGAAUCUUCCGCAAUGGGCGAAAGCCUGACGGAGCAACGCCGCGUGAGUGAUGAAGGUCCUCGGAUCGUAAAACUCUGUUAUUAGGGAAGAACAUAUGUGUAAGUAACUGUGCACAUCUUGACGGUACCUAAUCAGAAAGCCACGGCUAACUACGUG